rnacentral:tRNA from 1 species
GUGGUCGAGCUCGAAGGGACGAGAGGUCCGGCUGUGACCCGGACGAAGCGGGUUCGAGUCCCGCCGAUCACC